GACGUAGGGCGCGAGCGUUGUCCGGAUUUAUUGGGCGUAAAGGGCUCGUAGGCGGUCUGUCACGUCGGGAGUGAAAACCCAGGGCUCAACCCUGGGCCUGCUUCCGAUACGGGCAGACUAGAGGUAUGCAGGGGAGAAUGGAAUUCCUGGUGUAGCGGUGAAAUGCGCAGAUAUCAGGAGGAACACCGGUGGCGAAGGCGGUUCUCUGGGCAACAACUGACGCUGAGGAGCGAAAGCGUGGGGAGCGAACAGG
rnacentral:rRNA from 1 species